UGCACUUCAGGAAACUUGCAAUCACGGC
rnacentral:piRNA from 1 species